GGAUAACAAUUUUAUUGUAGGCCAUUGGAGUACAGGCCCCAAAAAUUAGGCAUUCACCUGACAGAAAAUAACUUGUGAUUAUGUGGCUGGAGGUACAUUAGGCGGUCACUGCAUAAAAUUUUUACUAUAGGCCACUGGAGUUGAGUCCC